rnacentral:rRNA from 1 species
GAAUAUUGCACAAUGGAGGAAACUCUGAUCCAGUGACGCCGCGUGAAGGAAGAAGGUCUUCGGAUUGUAAACUUAUUUUAUCAGGGAAGAAGAAAGUGACAGUACCUGAAGAAAAAGGACCGGCAAACUACGUGCCAGCAGCCGCGGUAAUACGUAGGGUCCAAGCGUUAUCCGGAUUUACUGGGUGUAAAGGGCGAGUAGACGGCGCUGUAAGUCAGCUGUGAAAACUUAGGGCUCAACCUUAAGCCUGCAGCUGAAAUGUGGUGCUAGAGUGCAGGAGAGGUAAGCGGUAUUCCUAUUGUAGCGGUGAUAUGCGUCUA